CCCUUAGAUGUUCUGGGCCGCACGCGCGCUACACUGAUGCAUUCAACGAGUCUAAAACCUGCUCUGAUAGGGGUGGGUAAUCUUUUGAAUGUGCAUCGUGAUUGGGAUAGAUGAUUGCAAUUUUUCAUCUUCAACGAGGAAUGCCUAGUAAACGCAAGUCAUCAGCUCGCGCUGAUUACGUCCCUGCCCUUUGUACACACCGCCCGUCGCUACUACCGAUUGGAUGGCUUAGCGAGAAUUUUGGAUCGGAGCCCGGGUGGUCGGCAACGGUCGCCCGGGAGAUCUGAGAAAUCAUUCCAGCUUGGUCAUCUAGAGGAAGUAAAAGUCGUAACA
rnacentral:rRNA from 1 species